rnacentral:lncRNA from 10 species
GUCGCGCGUCACGUCGCGCGAGAUGCCGGGCUCCUCCCGCGCUGCUCUUAGACCCGUUGACGGCGGCCGAGAGAGGAGCAGAAAGUGUGGUCUGUGGGGCUGCCUGACACCUGGUAGGCGCUCGGGCCGCUCUUGUGGGGCUGCGCCCUGGCGCUGCAGGGCUGAAUGUUAUACCCCUGAGAGAGGCCGUUGCGGGAGCGCAACGAGCUGCAGGCCUCUGGAGCUUCGGCGCCGACUUCUUCGACAUCAGUCGGGCCCCACCCUGGACAUGCCGGUUCCUUCCAGCUUCAACGACAUUGGCCAGGACUGGCGGCUGCGGCAUUUUGUCAGCCAGGUGUAG